AGUGAACGCUGGCGGUAGGCCUAACACAUGCAAGUCGAACGGCAGCACAGUAAGAGCUUGCUCUUACGGGUGGCGAGUGGCGGACGGGUGAGGAAUACAUCGUAAUCUACUUUUUCGUGGGGGAUAACGUAGGGAAACUUACUCUAAUACCGCAUACGACCUACGGGUGAAAGCAGGGGAUCUUCGGACCUUGCGCGAUUGAAUGAGCCGAUGUCGGAUUAGCUAGUUGGCGGGGUAAAGGCCCACCAAGGCGACGAUCCGUAGCUGGUCUGAGAGGAGGGUCAGCCACACUGGAACUGAGACACGGUCCAGACUCCUACGGGAGGCAGCAGUGGGGAAUAUUGGACAGUGGGCGCAAGCCUGAUCCGGCCAUACCGCGUGGGUGAAGAAGGCCUUCGGGUUGUAAAGCCCUUUUGUUGGGAAAGAAAAGCAGCAGGUUAAUACCCCGCUGUUCUGACGGUACCCAAAGAAUAAGCACCGGCUAACUUCGUG
rnacentral:rRNA from 1 species